rnacentral:rRNA from 1 species
GACGAACGCUGGCGGCGUGCUUAACACAUGCAAGUCGAGCGGUAAGGCCCUUUCGGGGGUACGACGAGCGGCGAACGGGUGAGUAACACGUGGGUGACCUGCCCUCAGCUCUGGGAUAAGCCUGGGAAACCGGGUCUAAUACUGGAUAUGACUCCAUGACGCAUGUUGUGGGGUGGAAAGCCUUGUGCGGCUGAGGAUGGGCCCGCGGCCUAUCAGCUUGUUGGUGGGGUGAGGCCGUACCAAGGCGACGACGGGUAGCCGGCCUGAGAGGGCGACCGGCCACACUGGGACUGAGACACGGCCCAGACUCCUACGGGAGGCAGCAGUGGGGAAUCUUGCGCAAUGGGCGAAAGCCUGACGCAGCGACGCCGCGUGAGGGAUGACGGCCCUCGGGUUGUAAACCUCUUUCAGCUCCGACGAAGCGAGAGUGACGGUA